UUGCUGAAAUUUGGUCCAAAAUGGGCUAAGAACCCACAACCAUUGCUUUGAAGCAUUAAAUGGCUUGUAUAGUGUUGUUUGGGGUUAGAAUAUGAUAGAAUAAAAUAAAUUCGAUUGAUUACAUGUGCUAGAGGUUCAUGAAGAGUGUUUAGAAGUGUGGAGAAAGACUUGUUGAAAUUAUGGGUCCCAAAAGAGCUAAGAACUAGGAAACAUUGUGUUGAACCAAUAAAUGACUUAACUAGUGUUGUUUGGGGUUAGAAUAUGUUAGAA
rnacentral:lncRNA from 1 species